rnacentral:rRNA from 1 species
GACGAACCGUGCGAACGUUGUUCGGAUUCACUGGGCUUAAAGGGCGCGUAGGCGGGCGGUCAAGUCAGGGGUGAAAUCUCCCGGCUUAACUGGGAGGGUGCAGCGGAAACUAGAAUGCUAGAGGGUGGGAGAGGUAAGCGGAAUUCCUGGUGUAGCGGUGAAAUGCGUAGAUAUCAGGAGGAACACCUGUGGUGUAGACAGCUUACUGGACCACUUCUGACGCUGAGACACGAAAGCGUGGGUAGCAAACAGG